rnacentral:lncRNA from 1 species
GAUCUGGUGAAACUAAGAGAGAGAGAGGGCCUGGUGAAAACCGAGAAAGAGGAAAGGCCCUGUUCUUCUUGAAGCACCGUGAGAACCGAGGGAAAGGAAGGCUGUUGUUGGAUCGGGCUUUGGCAGCAGGAGCAAAACUAGCCUUGCUCUGAUACCAAGUGAUGCCGGACUAACUUUAAGAUGAAAGCAGGAGAAGAGGAGAAGAGAAGGAGGAAGAAGAAGAGAAGAAGAAGAAGGGAGGAGAAGAGAAGAAGAGGAGACGUGGGAGGAAAGAGUUCUUUAAUUCUGCAUUAAACCCUAAUCAUGAAAAUAGUUCCCUAUAUAUAGGGCCCAAAUACACAACUUGCAUAAACCCCCCUUACACAGAAAUAAAUCCUAAUAAACCCACAAAUAACACAAAUAAGCCCUAAAAUGCAAAUAAGCCCAGAAAUAACAUAAACUACAAAUAAACCCUAGAAUGCAAACAAGCCCAGAAAUAAAAUAAUAAAAUAAAUAUGCAAAUAAACGGGUCUGACUCAAUCCGGGGGCUCAGGAUCAUCUGGAUGAAGGGCUCUGAUGUCCCCAUCA